UUGUAAGUUGUAAAAGUAUUUAUGUCACAGUAAUUUUAGCCAGAUAAAUGUAACAUCAACUGAUCUCAUAGUAUAAAACUUUAUUAUAAAACUGCAGACCAUUGGGAUCAUUCAAGUUCUACAAUCAUACACAAUUUUCACAAAUAAUUUGAUUGUCCUUAAAAGAUCCUUUCAUUAGUUUCCCUUUAUGUGGAAACUAAAGGAAGUUUUAGCUCUUAAACUCUUAAAGAGAUGAUUGAUUUUUUUUUUUUUAUCUACACAGAUGUUGAAAUCCUGGACUCAGUUAAGUAAAUGGAAGUUUUACCAGUGAACUCAUAACAGGAUUUCCCCAUGAAGUGUGUCCUAAAUAAAAUUUUCUUUCUUUCUAGUUCUUUUGUGGGCAGUUGGAAGUUAGAUUAACCCACGCUGAUUUUAUAAAGCUGGUAUAAAAUUAUGUUAAGAGGUCAUGUCUUUUUAAAAUUAUAAAGGCUUAUCUAUUUACAUUCUACUGGUCUGAAGCAGAAGUAACCAGGAACUGUGGAAAAAUCUUGUUAAAUAAACACUGAUUAGGGAGAACUUCUGCAUUUUAAAAUUUAAUACAUUUUACAUAUGUAAUAAAGGAGUUAAUACAAUGAAGCAAAAUGCCAUAAUACAUCUUAUUGCAACCUCUUACUAACAUAUUGGAGCUUCAAAAUGCAGGAUAAUGACAUUACUAAUCACUAGUAUAAAUAAUACCCUGUACAAACAGGUAUUAUUACAUUCAGCUUAACUUAUGGAUACCCAGGUAUUUCUGUUUUACUGUAAAUGAAUAAUUAAUUUUUCCCAUCUCUCUGUGGUUUCCUGUAGAACGUUCAAGUACUGAACACAUUAGAAGUUAAUGUGAAUCUUUGAAGAAAAAAUUAGAUGUCCUGAAUACAAUCUAAAGUAAUUAAAAACAAAAAAAAUUACAGGACUGAUUAGCUGGCAGCAAGAGUGAUACAUACUAAAAAUACUAACAAAUAGUAUACAAUGAUUGAAAAAAUAGCUGCCUUAUUCUUUGUUAAGGAAAAACAAACGUAUAAACAAACAAACAAAAAACAAAAACAAAACCCAAAACCUAAACAAAUCCCUCCAAAUCUUCCUACUCCAAGUCAAGAAAAUUACCCUUAACAGAAGACUAUAGUUUAGUGCAGUGAUCCUGUUUCUUUUGGCAGUCACCUGAAUAGCUGCAACAUACAGGUUUUUGUUGUUGUUCAUGUUCGUUUUUUGUUUGUUUGUUUGUUUGUUUUUGUCAACAGGAAAAUAAUUCUGAAGCUGCUCAGAGAACUGGUUCUGCCUCUCAGAGGAAGUUAAAAAAAUGAAAGUAUCUUUUUUUCCAUCAUUUUCAUAUUCAUUUAGGUUUUAUUUUAUUUUGACACUCAGAGUGACCACUUGUGUUACCUAUAUAAAGACACUGAAUUACAUUAAUCAGCUACCUAUAGUCAUAGCCAUCAACUUGACAUUGCCAUGCACCCUAGUCAAGCCUAUGGUUGCUUUGGCUCAGUAGAAGAUUCCAGUGAGUACAACCUUUUCAAUCUCUGUCUUAAUCAGUGCAGUUUUAUCUGCUAAUAAUGGGACAGAAUAUGAAAAAAAAAAAAAAAAAAAAAAGAAAAUACAUAACCAGAGCUUAUUUCAUUGGGCUACAAAAUACCUGCGAUACCUGCGUCGUGUUUCAACCUGAGCUAGCAAUAUAACCACAACAGCUGCUUGUUCUCUCCCUCUCCCCACCCCUCAAAUAAGGGAGAGAAUCAAAAGGGAAGGAGAAGCUUGGAUUGAGACAAACACAGUUUAACAAAAUAACAAAAUAUUAAUACACUACUAGCAAAUAUAUAUAUGAAAUAGAAAUAGAAUAUAAAAUAAAAGAUACUUAAUACAAUUCCUCAUGAACUUUGUCCACACCAAGCAGUCAGUCCUAGGAAACAGCACCUGGUCCCAAAGCUGAUGCUGGAGAGAGAAUAGAAGAAAAAAUGCAGAAAAUCCCAGAGACCUCUGCAAAACAGCAGGAUGGCAAAAGGCUGAACUAGAGAAAGUCCUGAACAGAACUGCCCCAAACAGGUCUCCAAGAGUGAAGAGAAGAGAGAAGAUUACAAGAUCCCGAUUCUUCUUAAAUAUGCAGCAUGACACUAAUGGGAUGGAACACUCUUAUUGAUCAGUCUGGAUGUCAGUCAAGCUCUGCCCCAUCUGUGCCCACCUUUCUCGAUGCCUCACUCCUGUAGGCAUAAUUCUCAGAAUGCCCUUUGCUCUCAGACCAAAGCGAUUAAAAACAUUAAUUCUGUCCUUGGGUGUUAUCUUCUUGUUCUCAAACUAAGUCCAAAUAAUGACUGUGUAAGCUAUGAAACAGAAAGGCUUCUAACUGCAUGAAGAAAAUUUACUCAUUUUCAGUCAAACCAGUACAAUCUGAAAUAAAUAUCUUUGCAGUUUCUGAUUCUAGUUAAGAGUUAAGUGUGAAAUUAAAAUCCAGAUUCAAACAAUAUUAACUAGCAGAAAAUCGGAAUUCUUAUCAGACAUUAAAAUUUCAGCAGGUACAAAUUUUAAUCAGUUCAAUUGAUAAUAUCUGAAGCCUCGGUGUUUUCUUUCUCAGCCUUUGUUUCUACCAUAGAAUGCCCUAUCCUUCUUGUAUUUCAGCAUACACUUGAGAAUUAUAGAUCAAAUCUCCAAUGGUACACAUUUAUGAUUUUAUCCAUCAACCAUUUGUAUAUAUUGUUAACAGAAUUUUUCAGGUACUACUUUACUUGUUUUGCAGAAUUGGUCAAAAAUUGAAGUACAUAUCUUACCUCUCAUGUUUUAUUUAAUCUGGUUACAAUAACUUCCUAUUAUUUCCCUCUGUCCCACCCCUUUGUUUUCAUACAAAUUCCAUAUAUGGUCUAGACUGAACAAGGAAAUAAAUAAAUAAUAAUAAAAAUCUGUCAAAAAAACCCUGCUGUGCUUUCUCAAGCAGAUGACAUUUCCACAAGAAUUUCUUCCAUAAAAAUAAUCUUUUUUUUUUUUUUCCAGUUUUUCCAAAGACGUUUAUCGUUUUCACCAAGAUUCUAAUUCUGUGCCAACACUGGCAAGCUGACUUUGAUUGCUUUCAGACAACCAUGAAUUAGUGUUCUUUAAACACUCAGAAGUAUACGCAGUUCCUGGCAAUGAAACAGCAUCCAGCCUGUGUUUGCAAGGGGACAAUCUAACUCUGAGCUACACAGCAACAUGAUGUUGAGCUCUGAAGGAACUAUUACAGUGAUUGCUAAAGCUCUUUUCACUCUUUUCAUUCUUUUCACUCUUUUCACUCUUUUCACUCUUUUCACACCAUGACUGUAAAAGAUAUUUGGGGAUCUUCCAAUACCCCAGCACCCACAUAUUUUGUUUACAGUGUCUUUAAUGUUAGUGAUGCCUUAGCUUUUGUGUGUCUUGGACAUAGAAAUGUAUUGCUAAUUUCUUGGAAACUGGCAAGCGGUAGUUUGUACCACCACUUACACUUAUAAUGGACUUGAGUCUGUAUCACAGCUAUAUGAGGAAGAUUCAUUGCAUAAGUGGGAUAUAGAGUUUAGAUGACUGAUUUGUCUAUUUUAUUCCUUGCAAAGUCACAUCAAAGAGCGCAUUGUGUGAACCUUUAUUCUUAUUUGUUGGAUAAAUAUAUACGGUAGAUACAAACACUCAUUUACUCUAUUUUGUAUGAGUUUUUUUUAGUCAAAUUAUUAAAAAGAGUAUUAUAGAAAACUAAGUCACAAAAAAGAAUUAAAUAAUGGACUCCACAGCCAAAUAAUUACUUAUCAGAAGGAAUUUGCCCUCACAUCUUAUGUAAAUGAAAAUGGAUUGAGCAUUCAGUGAUGAUCAGAGAGACAGCAUUAUGCAUUUCUCUCAAACCAUUGGCCAAUGCAGAUGGGAAAGGGUCGGUGUAUUUUUAUUCCUCGCCAUUAUUUGGACAGAUGGCCAGUCACUGCAGUUGUUGAAACUUCCUUUUUUCUUUUUUUUUUUCUAAUUUAAAUUUAAUGAAGUGCAAGAGAUUCACCAAAAUAAUUUUAUUUUUUAAAUAUUUCCUGGGGGAAAUAAAUGCUAUUGCUCUCUUUUGCCUCCCUCCUGCAAGCAGCAUUUGUCUCACUGUGCAGCUGCUGCUUGGAAAAAUAACAAUUGCAGCUCUUAACAAUGUGAAGCUACCAAUUCUAAGAAAGACAUGACACAGAAUGUAACAAUCUGGCACCUUUUAUGCAGUGACGCAAAGACCUCCCUACUUGUGAAAAUUUUUCAGGUUUUUGGGUUGUUUGUUGUUGUUGUUGUUGUUUGUUUUUGUUUGUUUGUUUGUUCGUUUGUUUUUAUAAUGAGUUUAGACCCAAUUUUGACCUAAGCAAAUUUAGGGACUAGGGACAAAAUAUCUUCCAGAUUUUAAAAUGAACUUAUGCUUUUCUGGAUCCAUUACUCUCUGGAAAAAUUUAGCUUUUUAAAAAGUACCAUACUUCUCUAGUACUUUUAAUUUGUGUACAGAGAUUUAGUCUUCCAGCCAGAAUGGUUAACUCAGAAAGUCUGUUCCCAGAACUAUACUAAACAUCACUGAUGAUGUAAUCACAGAUGCUUUUGACAAAUAAAAAUUACAGUCAUAAACAAGUAAGCCUCAUUGGCUGGAAAUCAGGAAGAAACAGGAAGAAAACUAUGUUUAUUGGAAUAGAAAUAACUAAUCUGGAAAAAAAAGGCAUGUUUCUAAGAAGAUGGUGAAAACAGAGAAGAAAGAAGAAAAACAUAAAAAUCAAAUUAUUUGCAUCCCCAAAAUCCCUGGAUUUCAACACCCCAGAACUUCAGAAGAGUGGAAAUGUGAAUACAAACAUAUCUCAGUUAAGCAAGGCUACAAUUGAAAGUCAUUCAGCUGGAAAUCGAAAAACUCUUUUCUCUGUUAUUAAUACAUUUGGAUUGCUUUCCAUUUUAUUUCCAUUCUAAUUGAUUAGAGUCAUCAUCUCUAGCAAGCAGCAGAUGUAUGUUUUCUAUAUUCAUGUUAGAUAGCUCCAUGGUAAGUGUGGAGUGCAUGGAACAUUUCUGUUAUCUAGAUAGGCAACUGCAAGAGAACAUGUGUAGGACUCCUCUAGGAUGUGUAAUACCACCUUCACUGAGUGAUAGUACAGAAAGAGUUAAUAUGAGCUAGCAAGCUCAGUUUGAGCUCAGUGUGUUGAUACAGCUGCAGACUGCGAGAACAUAAUCAAAUUAAGGAAGAGUGGCUUUUGGCCAUGAUAACUUCGGGGUGGAGAGAGUCCUUGUGGUGUGUCCCUGUCAGAUGAAUCAGUUAACCAGGACGUAUUUUCAGAAAGUGCUAGAAGUUCAUAUUGUACAGUGAACAGAAACUUACUUUCAUUUGUUUUGUGUUUUUACCCAGAAAUAAGAGCCCAUGUGACAGACACAGCCUACAGUAGGACAAAAAAAUAUUUGUUUGGGACUUCAUAUAUGUUGAUGUGAAAUUCUGUAGGUGGCUGGCAAUCAAGAAGGGCUCAUUACUUGUUACUUGGAUGAAAAAUUGCAUCAUGGAAGAAGUAGACCUUUUCUAGGAUUAAAACAGUAGUAAAGAGUGAAUGGAGCAAUCUCUUGUUCAAAAAGAGAAAGUUGUUACACUGUUAAUAGAAUACUUUCUCCUAGAGGGCAAUACUACUGCUUCAAGUGAUACAAGGGAUGCUGUCAAUAAAUUGACAGAAAUCAAAAACUAUGUACAAGUCUUCUCUUUAUUUAAUCACUGAGAAAGAUAUGGGCCUUUUAGCUCUGUUUUGAAAAUUGAAAGGUGUAAAGAAAUUUACAGCUUUGAUCAUAGUUUGAUAAAUAAUGAAGGAUACUUGUAAGACUUGCACCAAUGGAGCUUUGCUUUUCAGUUUGCCAUAAACCAAAAAGAGGACGGACAAGUAGCUUUUACUUCUGUCUGUUGUGAAAUUAAAUUAAGUACAAAAUUUGAUACACUCACCAAACAACAAAUGGAAGUUUGCAUACUUUGUAACCCAACUUGUUUUCCUAUCACUUUUUCUAGGUCUGUAACUGCAUUGUCAAGGCUCAGAAGAUUAAGACCUGAUUGUGCUCAGACAAGUUCCUUGAUUCUGUGUUUGUCUCAGAGGGUGUGGAUAGAGUGUUUGCUUCUUAAUCUAUUUAUUUUUUCCAAACACUACUCUGAAAACUACAUUAUUUUCAGCAGUAUAGAACGCUGAGUAGUACAACUCCUUCUUAUGCCUUCUGACUGCUUUCAGGUGAAUACCAAUAUCUUAUGGAAACUUCACCAGUUGUGAUGGCAUUUUUUAAGAAACUGCAGAUACUCACUUCAAAUCUGCUUCAUCAGCCUUGAAGCCUUUCCAAUACAGCAACAUAACUUCCAGAGGUGGAGCUGAGAAAACAGUAACUAUUAGUGUACUAUAUGAAAAUGUGGACACCUACGUCCCUCCUUCAACUGCGUUUUAAAAGUUAUAUUGCCAAUGCUCAGAAGACAACUCAGGCUCUAGAAGCAGAGUGAAACUGGAGUGAACCUGAACUGUGUUACAAAAUCACAAAAUGACUGCUGUUGGAAGGGACCCCUGGAGAUCAGCUUGUACAAUCCUAUUCAUGAAGGAGGGUCACAUAGAACAGGUUGUCCAGGACCAUAUCCAGAUGUGUUUUGAAUAUCUCUUAGGAUGGAACCUCCACAACCACGCUUGGUUACCUGUACUGGUGCUAUCACCCUCACAGUCUCCUUAUGUUCAGACAGAACAACCUGUGUUUCAUCUUGUGCCUGUUGCCUCUUACCCUGUCACUGGGCACCAAUGAAAAGAGCCUGGCUCUGUCUUAUUUAUGUUGUCCCUUUGGAUGCUUGUACACAUCAUUAAGAUCCCCCCAAGUCUUGUCCAGGCUAAUCAGUUCUCUCUCAGCCUUUCCUCAUAGGAGAGAGGCUCCCGUCCCUUAAUCACCUUUGUGGUCUUUUGUUGAAGUCUUUUUUGUACUGAGGACCCAGAACUGGACACAACAGUGCAGGGGUGGCCUCACCAUUGUUGAAUAGAGGGAAAAGAUCAACUUCUUGGACCUGCUGCCAAUGCUCUUCCUAAUGCAGCCCAGGAUACUGUUAGCCUUCUUUGCCACAGGGCUAUAUUGCUCGUUCAUGGUGAGCACAAGGCCUUUUCCUCAAAACUGCUUUCCAGCUGAUCAGCCCUAGAAUGUGCUGGUGCAUGAGGUUAUUCCUCCCAAUGUGCAGAAGGGAGACAAGUGAAAAAUAUGAAAAGUGCUGAAGUACAAGAAAAUGUAGCUUUGUGUUGUUCUGUGUUUCAUAUUGACCAACUGCAAAUAAGCAAUUAAUUUCUUAUAUGGUUCUUGGUUUGUUUUUGUGGGUUUGUUUUGUUUUGAUUUUUUUGGUUUAUUUGUUUUGUUUGGUUGGCUUGUUUUAAUAUUCUGGUUAACCAUGUAGCUAUAUUAUUCUCCCUGUCAAGCACUUCAAAAUAUGAAACUCAAAGUACUUUUUAUUGAAGUAAAUCAUGAUAAUAACAAAAUUUAAAAUGGUUAAUUAUUUAAUAACUUAGAUUGUCAAAAUCUGAGCUAGGAACGAAUGGUAUGGCUAACCUACCCGGUUUAUCAGGUCUGUUUCUGAACCCUCUUUUGUAGACACAUGUUUAGCCACUAUCCAUCUCAGCAAUAAAUCCUAUUAGGAUUUAAAAAAACUGCAGAGGACUCAAUGGUAUUUUCCACCUGCCUGACACAAUACACUAGAGUCUGCACCACUUGGAGCUGAGAGUUAGAUCAGCUCCAUCAACUGAGCAGUGGCUCAAGCUUGACUCUUCUACUCAUCUGAGUGAACUGUAAGCAUGGAUUUAAUCUUCAGAAGUAAAUUUGCCCCUUGUAGUCUGAUUACACAUGCAACAGAAUGCAGGAUUUUGACCCAGAAUGGAAAGCGGGAAGCCUUCACAAUCAGUGGACUGAACCCUAAUAGUGCUUUUUUUAAUUUGUACUCAUCAGAACAGGAGUCGUUUUGCCAAAGCUCAGGGCAAUUUACUUUCUUUAGGCUUCAUCCUUGAUAAUCUAUCCCUCCUUUUCAUCAAUUCUUUUACAUGCCCAACAUUAGUGUAAUUUCCAACAAUAGAACUUGAACUCCAGUCAACAUAAAAGACUACACAGCAAGCACUGAGGUGAAAUUAUAAUACACAUAAAUAAAGCCUUUCAAAGCUGCUUUUUUUUUUGUUUCUAAUCACUGUCUAGAGUGGAAAAUAAAGUUUAUUUUCACUUCACGCCUUCUAGCUAUAAGACACAGGUUUUUUUCAAUAAGUUAACAAAAUCUAAACAACUGAUAUUUGUGUGUAUAGAAAUAUCUUGAAACAGCUAUAAUUUCCAAAUACCUGUUUUCUGAUGGCAGAAAAAUAUCAAAGCAGAUGAUAUUAUUUGGUCACUAGAUGUCAGCAGUAUGUGGAAUUAAUGAAGAAAAAUAAUGACAAAAGUAGAACUUCCUGUUAUAAAAAGAGAGACGAACUGCUAACAUUGUGAGAUUUUUUAAAAUUACCUAUUUACAAAAUUACAUACCCAUUGUCAUGAUGAUAAUGUGGUUCAUGAGUGAAUGCAAACAGCAGUGACCUGAGAAAUAAGACAACCCCCAGGUUAUCUCCACAAAUAUUUGAAUAUAAUUUCAAAAUAGUAUUAUUUUAAUUAUUUAUUUUGCAUCCUAGCAUGCCAUCAUUAUACCCACUACUAUGUAUCCCCUGGCAAGGAAGAUUUACCAUCUCCAGAAUAUUUUUCUGCUAUAGGUGCUAAAUAACGAAGCUAUUUUCAUUCUUUUUUCUUCAGAAAAUUUUGUGGGUUUUAAAUUUUUUUAUUCUUUAAGAGAGAUGCUUAAAUAAACAAUUCCUAUCUGUCCUUCUCAUCAUAUACUAGGUAUAGGACUGUGAUAUUCUGUGUUUCACUGCCUAACUUUUAUAAGAACAAGAAGCUUUUCUGCAUCCAAGAACGUCUAUGUUGUUCCUUUUCUUCUUUUUACACUUUUGUAUAUUGUUCCACAUUAGGGCUGCUCUUAGUUCUUACUUCAGAACAAGUUUCUAGGACAUGCUUCUGCUUAAUCUGCCUCUAUUAAUUCAGGAUCCUGGCCAAGAUAUAUCAAGAUCAGGAGGUCUAAUAUAUAUCUUGAAGAACAUACUAUUUCCAAAUAGAGAAAUCUCAGAUUUUUUUGUGUCAUUAAAGUGGGGCAAAAAUACUAUGUCUGUUUUGUAUUGUGUGUGCUUUGAGGUAGCUGCAUGGACCUAUCUCUGAAAGCCGUCUUUAGUAAGAAACUAACCUUUUAGGCCAUACUUAGAGUUUGACUCAGUCUGAGUUUGACAGGAAGAAUUCCAUGUUAUUUUUGCAAUCAUGCAGAAAGAAUCCCCCACUGAAAUGAAUCUACUGUUUUCCCAUGACAACAGUAUACAAUAUUAAUAAUUUUGUUCAAUUUCUGACAUAUCUUAGGUAUGCAUGCAUCCACUUAAAAAUGAAAUAACUUAGCUCUCCUCUAUUUUAGCCUUGCAAAUACAUAUGAAAAUGUUCAGCCAAUGUAUCUGUAAUCAAGCUUGGGCCAGGGAAUAGGAGGCCAGAUGGCAUAUGAGUAGAGUCUCACUAUAAGUAGCAUGGUACUCUUCCUGCAACACUGAGAUUUUUUUAUCUGUGUAAUAAAAUGGUAUCCAAGCAAGUGAAGAUGAAAAUGAAACAUUAAACUUCAUGAUACUUUGCAAAUUGAGGAAAAGUGCUGUAUUUCUGGCAGUUACUCACCCCUCCCCCUCAUUUUAUUUGGGCUAAUUCUAUGACCAGGAAACAUCUACCACCUUUUGACUGCUUGCCACGAUAUCUUUUUAGAGUUCAACUAGUCUGAAUAACGAUUAUACUAAAAAGCAGCUCUAUAUAAUACAGUGUUACCAAACAUCUUACAGUUUCUUGGAUUUUUUUUUUCUCUGUUGUUUACCAUCCCUCUGUUUGUGUUUCAUGGUUUGAAUCCGAAAGUCAUAUAGUACUGAGAUACAAACUUCAUAGUAUGCAUAACAAAAUGAUAAUUCCAUGCCCUACAGCAACAUUAAAUGUUUUAUAGUUACAGAUGUUAAUAGAUCAAAAGGGUGACAGAGCACUGGAACAGGCUGCCCAGAGAGGUUGUGGAGUCUCCUUCUCCAGACACAUUCAAAACCUACAGGGAUGCAUUCCUAUGCCAUCCACUCUAGGUGAAACUGCCUUAACAGGUGGGUUGGACUCGAUGAUCUCCAGAGGUUCCUUCCAGUCCCAACCAUUCUUUUAUUCUGUGAAAAGAAGCAAGCAAUUGAUAUAUCCUAAGGAAAUGCUUUUUAACCUGUGCAUUUCAUUUAUAUAUUUACAUUUGGAAAUUUGCAAUAGUGGGCAACAGUAAAAUUUUUGAAUAUUUAUUAAAAUAGGAACAUUUUUGAGACACUAAGAUAUUAAGAUUUUUUUUUUUUUUUUUUAAUUGGAAUAUCUAUUACGUGAACAACAUUUUAUGAAAAAGGAGAGAAAGCUUCUGCUUCUGUUUAAGCUAGGAAGGGUUUGGGUUUUGCCUUCAGCAUCUCUUGUAUUAGAAUCAGUGUGACCUUAUUAGAUUUCAUUUCUUUUUUGUUGUUAUCUAAUGCUGGUAAACUUUCUUCUUGGCCACUAUUGAUUUUAAAUACAACAACAAACUGUAUAAAGUAACAGGAUGAAACAUGUACACAGAAGUUAAUACUGCCACUGGCAAGAAUCUAGCUUUCUUAAACAGCGUUCCAACAUGAAACUGAAAUUAUAAAGCAAUGGAAAGGAAAAAAUGUGGAGAGAGAGCUUGAUAUCAGAUAUAAAAAUGGAGGCAUAAAAAAUUAUAUUAUAAGGAAAGAGUUAAAAAAUGUUAAAUAAGUCUUUCUUGUGUCUUAAAAUGUUGUUUUCCUAGUACAAAACUGCAGGAGAAUAAGUAGUAUUCAUGACAAAAAAAAAUUGUUGUAACUCUCUGUAUUUUAACAUAACAUAAUUAUAACAUACCAAGUAAAUUAAACUCCUUAAUCAUCUUCUACAUCUUUCCAAUUUAUCUAAAGAUUGCUCUGUUGUUCAUCUAUAAUACUCAUCCCGGAAAUAAAAUCAUUAAUCACCAUGGCAUCAAGAAAAAGGGUUUACA